rnacentral:rRNA from 1 species
UUAUGCCUACGGGGGGCAGCAGUGGGGGAUAUUGCACAAUGGGGGGAACCCUGAUGCAGCGACGCCGCGUGGGUGAAGGAGUGCUUCGGCAUGUAAAGCCCUAUCGGCAGGGAAGAAGCAAGACGGUACCUGACUAAGAAGCCCCGGCUAACUACGUGCCAGCAGCCGCGGUAAUACGUAGGGGGCGAGCGUUAUCCGGAUUCACUUGGUGUAAAGGGAGCGUAGACGGCCAAGCAAGCCAGGGGUGAAAGCCCGGGGCCCAACCCCGGGACUGCCCUUGGAACUGCAUGUCUGGAG